rnacentral:misc_RNA from 1 species
AAUUAGUCAGAUGCUUGUCAAGGAUUCUGCACAGCGCCUGCCAUUGCAUAAGCUACUUGAGCAUCCUUGGAUUGUUCAGAAUGCCGAUUCCUCUGGAGUCUAUAAGGGUUGAGUUGCCUUGUCUUUUUGAUUAAUCAUGGUCAUAGAUUUUAAGCGGAAACCUCACAAGAGCAGCUCUGUGGAUGGAUUGUGACGAGCUGAUACCUGUAUUGACUUGCAAAAAUGAUAGGUGCGUCUGCCAGACCCAUUUCAUGGCAGUAUGCAUGCUGCUUCACCACUUUACGAGUUCAUUGCAUAAGUUGACUCAAAGCUUUGUGCAAAAGAAACCAUUUGUUUUUGAAUGAUAAUGUAAAAUUCAUUUGUAUGUUGAAUUAUUUUCCUAUAUCUAACGCGGAGCAAAGGCAGUGUUCGAUUUGCUGCUAAAAAGUAAGGCCAACCCAAAGUGCCGCCAUCACUUAACCACCACAACCCAAAUGUGGCGGCUCUAGAUAUUUUGUUCGAGGGGCGGCAAAUGGUUGGCAGUCAUUUUUAAGGUUAACUAGUCAUAAUUUUUUUUUUUUUCUG